GCACUUUCAAUUCAAGCAGAAAUACCUUUUAGCUAGCGAAGUAGGGUAACUCAAUGGAGCCCAAACCAAUGACAUCAAGGUCAAAAAGAACAAAUAAUACAAUUUUAACCUGAUUCAGUUUCUUAUGCCUUAUGACAACCUUUUGCCUGCAUCCACAGAGAGAAUAAACUAUCACUUAGAGAGAAUUAAUAUGUACAAGAAUCCAUUGAGUUUACCGCCUCUAACCCAAUUUUAUAACCCUUGUACAUCCACUGUCAACUCCAAAAAUUAAGUUUCUCACCUUCUCUUGUAGCCAGGCAGAGGCUAAUGGCCACUCCAAGCCACCAAAUCCUUAAUAAUAUGUUAAGAGUAAUAAGGAGAACAAAGGGCUGUGAUUGUAUGUGAUUAUUCUAUUACUAUCAGUAAUGUGAUAGUUAACUGAAGAACUGAAAGUUUUUAGGAAAGUUGUAAUUGGCGGGAACAGUUAUAGGAAGGGCUAGUAGGUGUAUAAAUACUAGCUAUUGUAACUG
rnacentral:misc_RNA from 1 species